GAUGAACGCUGGCGGCGUGCCUAAUACAUGCAAGUCGAGCGAACGGACGAGAAGCUUGCUUCUCUGAUGUUAGCGGCGGACGGGUGAGUAACACGUGGAUAACCUACCUAUAAGACUGGGAUAACUUCGGGAAACCGGAGCUAAUACCGGAUAAUAUUUUGAACCGCAUGGUUCAAAAGUGAAAGACGGUCUUGCUGUCACUUAUAGAUGGAUCCGCGCUGCAUUAGCUAGUUGGUAAGGUAACGGCUUACCAAGGCAACGAUGCAUAGCCGACCUGAGAGGGUGAUCGGCCACACUGGAACUGAGACACGGUCCAGACGCCUACGGGAGGCAGCAGUAGGGAAUCUUCCGCAAUGGUCGAAAGCCUGACGGAGCAACGCCGCGUGAGUGAUGAAGGUCUUCGGAUCGUAAAACUCUGUUAUUAGGGAAGAACAUAUGUGUAAGUAACUGUGCACAUCUUGACGGUACCUAAUCAGAAAGCCACGGCUAACUACGUG
rnacentral:rRNA from 1 species